rnacentral:rRNA from 1 species
UACGUAGGGUCCGAGCGUUGUCCGGAAUUACUGGGCGUAAAGAGCUCGUAGGUGGUUUGUCGCGUUGUUCGUGAAAACUCACAGCUCAACUGUGGGCGUGCGGGCGAUACGGGCAGACUAGAGUACUGCAGGGGAGACUGGAAUUCCUGGUGUAGCGGUGGAAUGCGCAGAUAUCAGGAGGAACACCGGUGGCGAAGGCGGGUCUCUGGGCAGUAACUGACGCUGGAGGAGCGAAAGCCGUGGGGAGCGAACAGG